CCGAGUUUACAACUCCCAAACCCCUGUGAACAUACCUAUACGUUGCCUCGGCGGAUCAGCCCGCGCCCCGUAAAAAGGGACGGCCCGCCCGAGGACCCCUAAACUCUGUUUUUAGUGGAACUUCUGAAGUAAAAACAAAACAAAAUAAAAUCAA
rnacentral:misc_RNA from 1 species